rnacentral:rRNA from 1 species
UACGUAGGGUGCGAGCGUUGUCCGGAAUUAUUGGGCGUAAAGGGCUCGUAGGCGGUUUGUCGCGUCGGGAGUGAAAACACCGGGCUUAACUCGGUGCUUGCUUUCGAUACGGGCAGACUAGAGGUAUGCAGGGGAGAACGGAAUUCCUGGUGUAGCGGUGAAAUGCGCAGAUAUCAGGAGGAACACCGGUGGCGAAGGCGGCAUCCUGGACCAUGACUGACGCUGAGGAGCGAAAGCCAGGGGAGCAAACGGG